UACGUAGGGUGCGAGCGUUGUCCGGAAUUACUGGGCGUAAAGAGCUCGUAGGUGGUUUGUCGCGUUGUUCGUGAAAACUCACAGCUCAACUGUGGGCGUGCGGCGAUACGGGCAGACUAGAGGUACUGCAGGGGAGACUGGAAUUCCUGGUGUAGCGGUGGAAUGCGCAGAUAUCAGGAGGAACACCGGUGGCGAAGGCGGGUCUCUGGGCAGUAACUGACGCUGGAGGAGCGAAAGCGUGGGGAGCGAACAGG
rnacentral:rRNA from 1 species